rnacentral:misc_RNA from 1 species
GAAAAUGCGAUAUGCAGUGUGAAUUGCAGAACUAUGAAUCAUCAGAUAUUUGAAUGUAACUAACGCCGGCACAACCGGCAUGUUUGGUUCAGUGUGCCUAACAAACUAACCUAAACUAAAUGCAAGGGAAGUUCCUUUGUAAAGAACAUGCUCAUAGCAGCAGUCACUUUAUAGUGAGUUGUUAUAAGUAAAACAAGACUUACUCGCACCUGAACUCAAGCAAGAUGACCCGCUGGACUUAA